AUAUACGACCGUACCGCAAACCGACACUGGUGCGCGAGAUGAGUAUUCUAAGGCGCUUGAGAGAACUCAGGAGAAGGAACUCGGCAAAUUGACACCGUAACUUCGGAAGAAGGUGUGCCCUAUUAGUGUGUAGUGAACAACGAAGCAUGAAUGGGUUGCAAAAAAUCGGUGGCUGCGACUGUUUAUUAAAAACACAGCACUCUGCAAACACGAAAGUGGACGUAUAGGGUGUGACGCCUGCCCGGUGCUGGAAGAUUAAAUGAUGGGGUGCAAGCUCUUGAUUGAAGUCCCAGUAAACGGCGGCCGUAACAAUAACGGUCCUAAGGUAGCGAAAUUCCUUGUCGGGUAAGUUCCGACCUGCACGAAUGGCGUAACGAUGGCCACACUGUCUCCUCCUGAGACUCAGCGAAGUUGAAAUGUUUGUGAUGAUGCAAUCUCCCCGCGGAAAGACGGAAAGACCCCAUGAACCUUUACUGUAGCUUUGUAUUGGACUUUGAACAGAUCUGUGUAGGAUAGGUGGGAGGCUUUGAAGCAGGGUCGCUAGAUCUUGUGGAGCCAACGUUGAAAUACCACCCUGGUGUGUUUGAGGUUCUAACCUAGGUCCAUUAUCUGGAUCGGGGACAGUGCAUGGUAGGCAGUUUGACUGGGGCGGUCUCCUCCCAAAGCGUAACGGAGGAGUUCGAAGGUACGCUAGUUACGGUCGGACAUCGUGACGAUAGUGCAAUGGCAUAAGCGUGCUUAACUGCGAGACUGACAAGUCGAGCAGAUGCGAAAGCAGGACAUAGUGAUCCGGUGGUUCUGUAUGGAAGGGCCAUCGCUCAACGGAUAAAAGGUACUCUGGGGAUAACAGGCUGAUACCGCCCAAGAGUUCAUAUCGACGGCGGUGUUUGGCACCUCGAUGUCGGCUCAUCUCAUCCUGGGGCUGUGGCCGGUCCCAAGGGUAUGGCUGUUCGCCAUUUAAAGAGGUACGUGAGCUGGGUUUAAAACGUCGUGAGACAGUUUGGUCCCUAUCUUCCGUGGGCGCUGCAGAUUUGAGGAAGCCUGCUCCUAGUACGAGAGGACCGGAGUGGACACACCUCUGGUGUAUCGGUUGUCACGCCAGUGGCAUUGCCGAGUAGCUAAGUGUGGAAGAGAUAACCGCUGAAAGCAUCUAAGCGGGAAACUCGUUUCAAGAUGAGAUCUGCCGGGGCCUUGAGCCCCCUAAAGAGUCGUUCAAGACCAGGACGUUGAUAGGUCAGGUGUGGAAGC
rnacentral:rRNA from 1 species